UGGGGAAUUUUGGACAAUGGGCGCAAGCCUGAUCCAGCCAUGCCGCGUGCGGGAAGAAGGCCUUCGGGUUGUAAACCGCUUUUGUCAGGGAAGAAAUCUUCUGAGUUAAUACCUCGGGAGGAUGACGGUACCUGAAGAAUAAGCACCGGCUAACUACGUGCCAGCAGCCGCGGUAAUACGUAGGGUGCAAGCGUUAAUCGGAAUUACCGGGCGUAAAGCGUGCGCAGGCGGUUUUGUAAGACAGAGGUGAAAUCCCCGGGCUCAACCUGGGAACUGCCUUUGUGACUGCAAGGCUUGAGUGCGGCAGAGGGGGGAUGGAAUUCCGCGUGUAGCAGUGAAAUGCGUAGAUAUGCGGAGGAACACCGAUGGCGAAGGCAAUCCCCUGGGCCUGCACUGACGCUCAUGCACGAAAGCGUGGGGAGCAAACAGGAUUAGAUACCCUGGUAGUCCACGCCCUAAACGAUGUCAACUGGUUGUUGGGAAGGUUCCUUCUCAGUAACGUAGCUAACGCGUGAAGUUGACCGCCUGGGGAGUACGGCCGCAAGGUUGAAACUUAAAUGAAUUGACGGGGUCAUAGCUGUUUCCUG
rnacentral:rRNA from 1 species